rnacentral:Y_RNA from 1 species
GGCUGGUCCAAGUGCAGUGGUGUUUACAACUAAUUGAUCACAACCAGUUACAGAUUCCUUUGUUCCUCCUCCACUCCCACUGCUUCACUUGACUAGCCUUAA